AGAAACUUAGGCUAAACCAAAAACCACACGCCUUCAAAGCGUGAAAUAUGUACCACACAUAGUUUCUG
rnacentral:tRNA from 2 species